rnacentral:rRNA from 1 species
UACAGGGGGGGCAAGCGUUGUUCGGAAUUACUGGGCGUAAAGGGCUCGUAGGCGGCCAACUAAGUCCGACGUGAAAUCCCCAGGCUUAACCUGGGAACUGCGUCGGAUACUGGAUGGCUUGAAUUCGGGAGAGGGAUGCAGAAUUCCAGGUGUAGCGGUGAAAUGCGUAGAUAUCUGGAGGAAUACCGGUGGCGAAGGCGGCAUCCUGGACCGACAUUGACGCUGAUGAGCGAAAGCUAGGGGAGCAAACGGG